rnacentral:rRNA from 1 species
UGGGGAAUUGCUCGCAAUGGGCGCAAGCCUGACGACGCAACGCCGCGUGGAGGAUGAAGGCCUUCGGGUCGUAAACUCCUGUUGAUCGGGAAGAACGGGCCUAGGGUGAAUAGCCCGGGGCAGUGACGGUACCGAUUGAGGAAGCCACGGCUAACUCUGUGCCAGCAGCCGCGGUAAUACAGAGGUGGCAAGCGUUGUUCGGAAUUACUGGGCGUAAAGGGCGCGUAGGUGGCCUUCUUAGUCAGACGUGAAAUCCCCAGGCUUAACCUGGGAACUGCGUCUGAUACUGGAAGGCUCGAGUUCGGGAGAGGAAUGUGGAAUUCCAGGUGUAGCGGUGAAAUGCGUAGAUAUCUGGAGGAACACCGGUGGCGAAGGCGGCAUUCUGGACCGAAACUGACACUGAGGCGCGAAAGCCAGGGGAGCAAACGG